CAACUUUCAACAACGGAUCUCUUGGUUCUGGCAUCGAUGAAGAACGCAGCGAAAUGCGAUAAGUAGUGUGAAUUGCACAAUUCAGUGAAUCAUCGAAUCUUUGAACGCACAUUGCGCCCCUUGGUAUUCCAUGGGGCAUGCCUGUUCGAGCGUCAUUU
rnacentral:rRNA from 1 species